rnacentral:rRNA from 1 species
CACGUAGGGGCCAAGCGUUGUCCGGAUUUAUUGGGCGUAAAGAGCUCGUAGGCGGCUCGGUAAGUCGGGUGUGAAACCUCCAGGCUCAACCUGGAGACGCCACCCGAUACUGCUGUGGCUAGAGUCCGGUAGGGGAGCGUGGAAUUCCUGGUGUAGCGGUGAAAUGCGCAGAUAUCAGGAGGAACACCCGUGGCGAAGGCGGCUCUCUGGGACGGUACUGACACUGAGACGCGAAAGCGUGGGGAGCGAACAGG